rnacentral:rRNA from 1 species
UGCGUACCUUUUGUAUAAUGGGUCAGCGACUUAUAUUCUGUAGCAAGGUUAACCGAAUAGGGGAGCCGAAGGGAAACCGAGUCUUAACUGGGCGUUAAGUUGCAGGGUAUAGACCCGAAACCCGGUGAUCUAGCCAUGGGCAGGUUGAAGGUUGGGUAACACUAACUGGAGGACCGAACCGACUAAUGUUGAAAAAUUAGCGGAUGACUUGUGGCUGGGGGUGAAAGGCCAAUCAAACCGGGAGAUAGCUGGUUCUCCCCGAAAGCUAUUUAGGUAGCGCCUCGUGAAUUCAUCUCCGGGGGUAGAGCACUGUUUCGGCAAGGGGGUCAUCCCGACUUACCAACCCGAUGCAAACUGCGAAUACCGGAGAAUGUUAUCACGGGAGACACACGGCGGGUGCUAACGUCCGUCGUGAAGAGGGAAACAACCCAGACCGCCAGCUAAGGUCCCAAAGUCAUGGUUAAGUGGGAAACGAUGUGGGAAGGCCCAGACAGCCAGGAUGUUGGCUUAGAAGCAGCCAUCAUUUAAAGAAAGCGUAAUAGCUCACUGGUCGAGUCGGCCUGCGCGGAAGAUGUAACGGGGCUAAACCAUGCACCGAAGCUGCGGCAGCGACACUAUGUGUUGUUGGGUAGGGGAG